UGAGUCCCAACAUGGCGGCCGCUUUGCGCGUCAGUGUGUGAGCCUCCACAGAGCGCGGCUGAGGAGCGGAUGGCGCCGGGGAUGUGAUGGAGGCUGGGGAGAGACCGAGAAGGCGGAUGAUCAGGGCGUGUAAGCGCUCGGAGGGAGGCGGAGGCCGCGGCCCGGUCCUGCGCUCUGUGAGCUCCGGGAAUGUCCGCGUUCACAGCGACGCCAUGGAGGAAGGAGAGCGAGAGGGAGGAGAAGAAGAGGAGGAGGAGGAGGGAAGCGGCCGGCUGGAGCAGAAGGUGUCGGCGCCGCGGUACAGCCUGGUGCGGGAGGUGGGCCGCGGCAGCUACGGCGUGGUGUACGAGGCGGUGGCGCGGAGCUCCGGCACUGUGGUGGCCGUUAAGAAGCUGCGCUGCGACGCGCCCGAGAACGUGGAGCUGGCGCUGGCGGAGUUCUGGGCGCUGACCAGCCUGGAGAAGCGGCAUGAGAACGUGGUGCAGCUGGAGGAGUGCGUGCUGCAGAGGAACGGCAUGGCGCAGAAGAUGAGCCACGGCAAUAAGCGCUCCAGGCAGUACCUGCGCCUGGUGGAGACCUCGCUCAAAGGUGAGCGUGUGCUGUCGAGUCCCGAGGAGCCGUGCUACCUGUGGUUCGUGAUGGAGUUCUGUGAGGGAGGCGAUCUGAACCACUUCGUGCUGUCCCGGCAGCCCGACCCUCACACCAACGCCAGCUUCAUGCAGCAGCUGAGCAGCGCCGUGGCCUUCCUACACCAGAACAACAUCGUACACCGAGACCUGAAGCCGGACAACAUCCUGAUCUCGGAGCGUUCGGGAGCGCCGGUGCUGAAGGUGGCCGACUUUGGGCUGAGUAAAGUGUGCGCGGGACUAACGUCCGGCUCCCGAGGCUGCGCCGACACGGAGGACAAAAACAAACACGGCGUCAACGUCAACAAGUUCUGGCUGUCAUCGGCGUGCGGGUCGGACUUCUACAUGGCGCCCGAGGUGUGGGAGGGGCACUACACGGCCAAGGCGGACAUCUUCGCCCUGGGCAUCAUCAUCUGGGCCAUGAUCGAGCGGAUCACCUUCAUCGACGGCGAGUCGAAGCGCGAGCAGCUUGGGACGUACGUACGCCAGGGCGCUGACAUUGUACCCGUUGGCGAGGCGCUGCUCGAGAACCCCAAGAUGGUUCUGAGCAUCCCACAGCGGCGCCGCUCGCACAUGUCCUCCGCUCUCCGCAAACUCCUGCAGGACAUGCUCGCGGUGAACCCGCAGGACCGACCCGACGCUCAGGAGCUCCACAGCAGAAUCACGCGCGUCAUCUGUGCUGGAUGAACUCGCACACUUUUUUUCUUUCUUUCUCUUUCUCUCUCUCACACACGCGCGCGCGCACACACACACACACACAGGCUGCUGUUCUUCAGGACCCCGUGUUUGUGAGCGGGCGUGUCACAGACGACCCGCUGCAGACUCCUGAGGACUCCUGCGCUCUCCUCUGCUGCUUUGGGUUUUAUCUCUUUAUUUGCACAGUGUUCUGUAGAAGCCAAAGGUUGCUAGUGUUGUUCCCCGUCUGCUGUCGGAGCUUCUGAUCUCAAACACAGCUGAAUGUUUUGGGGUUUUUAAUCUUUUGUUUGUUUUCUUUCCCCUUCACACACUUCACACCUUGCCGUUUCUGUGCCUUGCAUCCCAACUCCUUCGGACCUGAUCAUUUUCACACACAGUUACACAAAGGAGAAUGUUCCGGAUCAUUACUUCAUUUAAUCUCAUAACAGUGUUCGCUUUUGUAGUAAAAACUGACCUCUCGGUGUUACCAUGGUUACUUCAGUUUGCCUUCAGUGUCCACUCCGGUUAGCGGUCUCCUGCGUUACCCACGGUGCUGUGCUGGUGAUGAUUUAGUCUUCACUUUGUCUCUGUGUAAUAGAGAAGCCUGUUUCCACCAUAAUAAUAAUAAUGAGGAGGGUUCUCAUAAUUACUGAGGAACUCAUUAUAAUAAUCUCAAUAUGACAGCAUCUUAUUAUUGAGGUCUUAUCUCAUUAUAACUGAAGUCCUAGAGAUUCGAUCUCAUCGUUAUAACGGAGUACCUCAAUUACUUGCGGUCCCUUAAUUAUGACUUGCCAUCUCAUAACUGAGUAUCUCGACUUGCUAUCUCACAAUUACUUACUCCGUUAUCAUUAUGAGAUACUAUCUCAAUUAUAACCGGGUAUCUCAUUAUGACUUAAGACCUCAGUUAUAAGCUACUAAGUUAUGAGAUACUGUCUCAUAAUGAUAACUGAGUAGGUCAUAAUGAGAGUCAAUUAUGACUGCAGUUAUUAUGAGAAGACCUCAAUUAUAAGAUACUCUGUCAAUUACGGCCUCAGCUAUGAGACAGUAUCUCGUAAUUGAUUUUGUAUGUCAUUAUGACUUGGUAUCUAAUGGUCAUCUCAUAAUUAAAGCUUCGUCAUAAUUGAGAUACUAUCUCAUUUACUGCUUAGUAUAUUUUAUAUAUAUUAUUUUUUUAAAAUGGUGUAAACAGGCUUGUAUAACUUGAAGAGUGAUGCGGCGGUGCUUUAGCUCUCUCCCUCCUCGUCUGUACAGUCUACUCAAACAGCUCAGCUUCUGAAACUUCAGCUUUCAUGCUCAUAACGCUAUCUCAUGGCUCACUAACUCGCCCAAUAUCUGUCGUAAUGCUGCAUCGUGUAGCUGCGUUGCAUUCUGGGACUUUGAGUCCUUCAACGUCUCCAUUAUCUCUACACUGGACCUCUGGUUUAUAAAACAUUAAAACAGUUGAGUGAGGAAAGAAAAUGUGUUUUUUUUUUUUUUUUGGACCCAACGGUGAAACCUGACAUGUUUGAGAACGGACCCCCCCACCCCCCCCGGUCACUGCACCCAGCUGCUAACAUCUCGCAGGAAAAACCGAAGUAAAGUUAACGCCAGAAAUAUUCAAUACUGACGCAUUAAAUGUGAAACAGGGCGGAGUUUAACUGUAAUGAAAACGCUGGACAUGAGACAAAGUACAGAGCCCCAUAAGAGUCAUGGUAAGGAUCGCAGUGGCUUUUUGGUUUGUUUGUCUUUCUUUCUUUCUUUCUUUCUUUCUUUCUUUCUUUCUUUCUUUCUUUCUUUCUUUCUUUCUUUCUUUCUUCUAAAAUGGCUACUUUUGCGCAUGUCUUACUUUGAGGAAAUGGAAAAAGUAGCUAAAUGCUCCCCAACAUGACCCUUAGGGGGCGCUGUAACAUUAAACCUGAGCAGAAAAAAUAAAGUGGAAAAUGGCCUCUGCCUUGAUGUGUAAACACACACACUUUUUUUUUUUUUUUUUUUCCCCUGCCUGCUGUCUUUUUAGGAACUUGUUCCUUAACGUUUCCCACUGAAAUAAUUGUUUUUUCCUCUUUUUUUUUUUCAUUGCUGAACUGUGAAAAUCAAACACUAGCUUUUUGUGAUAGUUGUGUUAUUGUUUUAACUCUGCACCUUUUAAACCAUGUAAAUCCAAACGCUGUGUGUGUGUGUGUGUGUGUGUGUGUGUGCGCGCUUCUACCUCGCAGUUCUUGGGUAUUUAAAAAUGAAAACAAACCCACUUCACGUUUUCACAGAAACGUGAUUCUUGCUGACGUUUUACACACUGAAGUUAACACGCUGGUUAAGAUUCCUUCCUUCCUUCCUUCCUUGUUGGUGGCUGCAGGUUGUUUGGAUGCUGCUGUUGAAACUUUGAUACCUCAGAGAGAUUUUUGUGGGAUUUUUUUCAUGGCACCAAAUGUGUGGUUUUUUUUUUUUUUUCUCCUCUUUCGUUUUUUAAACCUAAUGAAAGAGUAAGUGUGCUGUGGGUGUGAGGGACGUGUAAAUGUGUACAGCAGGGUUUUUUGAGGUGAUGUUUAUUUAUUAUUGUUUAACAUUUGUGUUAAAUAAACAAUGUUAAUCUCAUCACACUGUUUUUUAGAGAAAGAGACAAACAGGAAGUGAUGGUUUGUUUUUAUUUUCUAGAAUAUUCUGUUAUUUAAUACACACUCAUUCCUGACUCGUCAUUGAUUUGAUUGAUAUUAUUGGAGUAUAAUGAUAAUCAGACUUCCUCCUCUUUUUCCUGUUCUGUCGCUCUUUCUCUUAACAAUUGCACUUUCCUCUUUUUUU